rnacentral:rRNA from 2 species
GACCGAACCGACUAAUGUUGAAAAAUUAGCGGAUGACCUGUGGCUGGGGGUGAAAGGCCAAUCAAACCGGGAGAUAGCUGGUUCUCCCCGAAAGCUAUUUAGGUAGCGCCUCGUGAAUUCAUCUCCGGGGGUAGAGCACUGUUUCGGCUAGGGGGCCAUCCCGGCUUACCAACCCGAUGCAAACUGCGAAUACCGGAGAAUGUUAUCACGGGAGACACACGGCGGGUGCUAACGUCCGUCGUGAAGAGGGAAACAACCCAGACCGCCAGCUAAGGUCCCAAAGUCAUGGUUAAGUGGGAAACGAUGUGGGAAGGCCCAGACAGCCAGGAUGUUGGCUUAGAAGCAGCCAUCAUUUAAAGAAAGCGUAAUAGCUCACUGGUCGAGUCGGCCUGCGCGGAAGAUGUAACGGGGCUAAACCAUG